rnacentral:other from 1 species
UUCAGCCUGCCUUGUUCGAUUUGUUGCGGCCGUAAUUAUCCUACUGGUUAUAAAAUGGGAGCCCGGAUGUCCACGGGCGGAUUGCAGACCUCCCGGCUUGCCGGAAGAAGGGAGCGUGAAUCCCGUGGCAGGGCACCCACCUGCUUGAGAGAGUGGGUCAUAACUGGGUCGCAGACGGCAAGGCGGGUGACGU